rnacentral:rRNA from 1 species
GAGGAAAAGAAACCAACAGGGAUUGCCCUAGUAACGGCGAGUGAAGCGGCAACAGCUCAAAUUUGAAAUCUGGCUUCGGCCCGAGUUGUAAUUUGCAGAGGAUGUUUCUGGCGCGGUGCCUUCCGAGUUCCCUGGAACGGGACGCCACAGAGGGUGAGAGCCCCGUAUGGUUGGACACCAAGCCUGUGUGAAACUCCUUCGACGAGUCGAGUAGUUUGGGAAUGCUGCUCAAAAUGGGAGGUAAAUCUCUUCUAAAGCUAAAUACCGGCCAGAGACCGAUAGCGCACAAGUAGAGUGAUCGAAAGAUGAAAAGCACCUUGAAAAGGGGGUUAAACAGUACGUGAAAUUGUUGAAAGGGAAGCGCUUGUGACCAGACUUGUGCCGGGCGGCUCAUCCGGGGUUCUCCCCGGUGCACUCCGCCCGGCUCAGGCCAGCAUCGGUUUUCGUUGGGGGAUAAGAACGGCAGGAACGUGGCCCUCCUUCGGGUGGGUGUUAUAGCCUGCCGUACGAUACCCUGACGGGGACCGAGGUUCGCGCUCCGCAAGGAUGCUGGCGUAAUGGUCAUCAGCGACCCGUCUUGAAACACGGACCAAGGAGUCGUCCAUUAGAGCGAGCGUUUGGGUGUCAAACCCGCACGCGUAAUGAAAGUGAAAUUAGGUGAGAGCUUCGGCGCAUCAUCGACCGAUCCUGAUGUUCUCGGAUGGAUUUGAGUAAGAGUUUUAACGGACGGACCCGAAAGACAGUGAACUAUGCUUGUAUAGGGUGAAGCCAGAGGAAACUCUGGUGGAGGCUCGCAGCGGUUCUGACGUGCAAAUCGAUCGUCAAAUAUGAGCAUGGGGGCGAAAGACUAAUCGAACUGUCUAGUA